GGGCGAUAUCUGUCCGAGAGAGAUAAGUCGUACGGCGUGGUGCUCUAUUCGAGAGCAUUAUUCCCGCUGAUAAUGAGAAAAAAUCGGGGGGAGGGAGGGGCAUCGUCGAUAAACGAGACACGCGUAUUCUCGAGGAAAAUUCUCGAGGAUACGAGGCAGCGGUUGUUGUGCAAUAACAAUAACAACGGUGUUUUAGUUCUUUUUUUUUUUCUUAUUUUUAAGGGGUGGGGGGAAUAACGCCAAAAGUUCGAAGACGUUUGGAGAGAGAGUCACGGAAUGUAAAACGAAUGAACUUUGCUUCGAGGAGAGGGGGAAAGGGAGGGGGGAGUUUAUUGUUGCUCGCGAGGCGGGAAGAAUAUACGGACGCGGGAUGUUUGAACGUGUAUGAAGAUCAGCAAGUGGAAAGAAUAUCGAGAGAAAGAAAUUUUAAUUACGAUAUAUAGAUACGCGUAAGAAAAGUGUAAGUGCAAUAUUCGUGUAGAAUUGUGUAUCGAUGUUUGGGGAUGUUUGAAGAUUACGAAGUGGAAAGAAACGAUAUGAGAUGACGAAAAGUUACGGAAAACAGAUUAUAUAAUAUGAAUGUAAUAUAAAAAAAUGUAAUAUUUGUAUCGAUGUUUGAGAAUGUUUGUAGAUCACCAAGUGGAAGGAAUAUCGCGAAGAGUUAUAGAAAAGAAAUUUUACAAUGUAAAUAUUAUGGUAUGAUAUAAAGAAUGUAAUAUUUGUAUAUACAGUUUGCCGAUGUUUGAGGUUGUUUGAACAUCAAAAUGUGAAGGAAACGAAAGAAAAUGUUACGCGCGAUAUAAAUAUGUAAAAAAUGUAAUAUUCGCGUACAGUGUAUUGAUGUUUGAAGAUGUUUGAAGAUCACCAAGUGGAAGGAAUAUCGCGAGAAAAGAAAUUUUACAAUAUAAAUAUAAUUUUAUGGUAUGAUGUAAAGAAUGUAAUAUUUGUGUAAAGUUUGCCGAUGUUUGAGGUUGUUUGAACAUCAUAAAAUGCGUAGAAAACGAAUGAAAAUGUUACGCGCGAUAUAAAUACGUAGAAAAUGUAAUAUUCGCGUACAGUGUAUCGAUGUUUGAAGAUGUUUGAAGCGAGUAAACGAAAUGUUUUACCAAAUACCAAAUUCUGUACGUAUGUAUAUAUAUAUAUAUAUAUAUUUUUUAAAAAACGCAAUUUAAGAUGAGAAAA